rnacentral:rRNA from 1 species
GACGAACGCUGGCGGCGUGCUUAACACAUGCAAGUCGAGCGAUGAAGCUUCUUCGGAAGUGGAUUAGCGGCGGACGGGUGAGUAACACGUGGGUAACCUGCCUCAUAGAGGGGAAUAGCCUUCCGAAAGGAAGAUUAAUACCGCAUAAGAUUGUAAUAUCGCAUGAUAUAGCAAUUAAAGGAGUAAUCCGCUAUGAGAUGGACCCGCGUCGCAUUAGCUAGUUGGUGAGGUAACGGCUCACCAAGGCGACGAUGCGUAGCCGACCUGAGAGGGUGAUCGGCCACAUUGGGACUGAGACACGGCCCAGACUCCUACGGGAGGCAGCAGUGGGGAAUAUUGCACAAUGGGGGAAACCCUGAUGCAGCAACGCCGCGCGAGUGAGGACGGUCUUCGGAUUGUAAAACUCUGUCUUCAGGGACGAUAAUGACGGUACCUGAGGAGGAAGCCACGGCUAACUACGUGCCAGCCGCCGCGGUAA